rnacentral:rRNA from 1 species
GAUCAACGCUGGCGGCGUGCAUAACACAUGCAAGUCGAACGAUGAAGAUUAAAAGAUUUCUUCGGAAUGAACUUAAUUGGAUUAGUGGCGGACGGGUGAGUAACGCGUGAGUAACCUGCCUUGUACAAGGGGAUAGCCGUUGGAAACGACGAAUAAUGCCCUAUGACAUCAAAUAAUCGCAUGAUAAUUUGAUCAAAGAUUUAUCGGUAUAAGAUGGACUCGCGUCUGAUUAGCUAGUUGGUAGAGUAAAAGCCUACCAAGGCAACGAUCAGUAGCCGGCUUGAGAGAGUGUACGGCCACAUUGGGACUGAGACACGGCCCAGACUCCUACGGGAGGCAGCAGUGGGGAAUUUUGCACAAUGGGGGAAACCCUGAUGCAGCGACGCCGCGUGAUUUAGAAGGCCUUCGGGUUGUAAAAAUCUUUUGUAUGGGAAGAAAAUGACAGUACCAUACGAAUAAGGACCGGCUAAUUACGUG